GAAAAGUUUGUAAAAAGGAACCUCCCAUCAAGAGUGGUCUAGUCUCCAUUAAACUCUUCAUUUGCCCAAAGAAAAUGAAAUAUCUAAAUGAAGAGCUAAAGGACUGUUUGGCAGUGAUAUAUGCUCCGAUAAAACAGGACACAUACUGAAUUCUCUCUCUCUCUCUCACACACACACACACACACACACACGGACUCUUUCUCUCCCUCUCUCUCUCUCUAAAAUCUUGAAUCCUGAUGGUGGCUUUGGCCUUUGGGCUUAUGGUAGAAGAAAGGAAGCCUUGCAUGGAAGCAAAGAAAUGACACGCGGACUAGUC
rnacentral:lncRNA from 1 species